GAUGAACGCUGGCGGCGUGCCUAAUACAUGCAAGUCGAGCGAACCACUUCGGUGGUGGGCGGCGAACGGGUGAGUAACACGUAGGUUAUCUGCCCAUCAGACGGGGACAACGAUUGGAAACGAUUGCUAAUACCGGAUAGGACGAAAGUUUAAAGGUGCUUCGGCACCACUGAUGGAUGAGCCUGCGGCGCAUUAGCUAGUUGGUAGGGUAAAGGCCUACCAAGGCGACGAUGCGUAGCCGACCUGAGAGGGUGAACGGCCACACUGGGACUGGGACACGGCCCAGACUCCGACGGGAGGCAGCAGUAGGGAAUCUUGGGCAAGGGGCGAAAGCCUGACCGAGCAACGCCGCGUGAAUGAUGAAGGCCUUCGGGUUGUAAAAUUCUGUUAUAAGGGAAGAAUGGCUCUAGUAGGAAAUGGCUAGAGUGUGACGGUACCUUAUGAGAAAGCCACGGCUAACUACGUGCCAGCAGCCGCCGUAAAAC
rnacentral:rRNA from 1 species